rnacentral:rRNA from 1 species
AUGUGCGACCAUACCAAGCUGAAAAUACUGCAUCCCGUCUGAUCUGCACAGUCAAGCAGCUUAGGGCCCAGUCAGUAGUGCGGUGGGGGACCAUGCGCGAACAUUGUGGUGUUGCACUU